UAGAGUUUGAUCAUGGCUCAGAACGAACGCUGGCGGCAUGCCUAACACAUGCAAGUCGAACGAAGGCUUCGGCCUUAGUGGCGCACGGGUGCGUAACGCGUGGGAAUCUACCCUUGGGUUCGGAAUAACAGUUAGAAAUGACUGCUAAUACCGGAUGAUGACGUAAGUCCAAAGAUUUAUCGCCCAAGGAUGAGCCCGCGUAGGAUUAGCUAGUUGGUGAGGUAAAGGCUCACCAAGGCGACGAUCCUUAGCUGGUCUGAGAGGAUGAUCAGCCACACUGGGACUGAGACACGGCCCAGACUCCUACGGGAGGCAGCAGUGGGGAAUAUUGGACAAUGGGCGAAAGCCUGAUCCAGCAAUGCCGCGUGAGUGAUGAAGGCCUUAGGGUUGUAAAGCUCUUUUACCCGGGAUGAUAAUGACAGUACCGGGAGAAUAAGCUCCGGCUAACUCCGUGCCAGCAGCCGCGGUAAUACGGAGGGAGCUAGCGUUGUUCGGAAUUACUGGGCGUAAAGCGCACGUAGGCGGCUUUGUAAGUUAGAGGUGAAAGCCUGGAGCUUAACUCCAGAACUGCCUUUAAGACUGCAUCGCUUGAAUCCAGGAGAGGUGAGUGGAAUUCCGAGUGUAGAGGUGAAAUUCGUAGAUAUUCGGAAGAACACCAGUGGCGAAGGCGGCUCACUGGACUGGUAUUGACGCUGAGGUGCGAAAGC
rnacentral:rRNA from 1 species